rnacentral:lncRNA from 1 species
GGAAGAGGGUGAGGGGGUAUUUAUACCCCUUCACAACAGAACUCUCCGUUAUAAAAAGAUUCCGGAAAUUUCCAGAACUUUGUCUGGAGAUUUUCGGAAACUCCGGAAUUUUCCAAAAAAAACUUCUCUAAAGAUUCGGACCUCUGGACAUUUCCGAAAAAUCUUCCGGAAAAAUCCGAACCUCCGGAGGCUCUCCGAAAACUCUUCACUUCCGAAAAAUUCCGGAAGUCUCUGGUUAG